rnacentral:tRNA from 1 species
ACAUUGGUGGUUCAGUGGUAGAAUUCUCGGCUUCCAUGUGGGAAACCAGGUUCAGUUCCUGGCCAAUGCA